UACGUAGGUGGCAAGCGUUGUCCGGAAUUAUUGGGCGUAAAGCGCGCGCAGGUGGUUUCUUAAGUCUGAUGUGAAAGCCCACGGCUCAACCGUGGAGGGUCAUUGGAAACUGGGGAACUUGAGUGCAGAAGAGGAAAGUGGAAUUCCAAGUGUAGCGGUGAAAUGCGUAGAGAUUUGGAGGAACACCGGUGGCGAAGGCGGCUUCCUGGACCGACACUGACGCUGAGGCGCGAAAGCUAGGGGAGCAAACGGG
rnacentral:rRNA from 1 species